rnacentral:misc_RNA from 1 species
GAUGAAGAACGUAGCGAAAUGCGAUAAGUAAUGCGAAUUGCAGAAUUCAGUGAGUCAUCGAAUCUUUGAACGCACAUUGCGCCCUGUGGUAUUCCGCAGGGCAUGCCUGUUCGAGCGUCAUUUCAACCCUCAAGCUCUGCUUGGUGUUGGGCCCUGCCCGCUGCGGCCGGCCCUAAAGACAGUGGCGGUGCCGCCUGGCCCUGAGCGUAGUACAUCUCUCGCUCCAGUGCCCGGUGGUAGCCUGCCAGAACCCCAACUCUCGUGGUUGACCUCGGAUCUGGUAGGGAUACCCGCUGAACUUAAGCAUAUCAAUAAGCGGAGGA